rnacentral:rRNA from 1 species
AUGGACCAAGAGCUGCCGCUCGGGCUCGGCGACUUCUCCCUCGCCUCCCUCUGGCCGCUGCUCCCGCCGGAUCUCCAAUCUACUUCUUACCCAGACCAAGAGAUCGUGGAGGAGGUGAGGCGGAGGCUGGCCGCGGCCACGGCGGAGCUGGAGGCAGCCAAGGAGGAGGUGCGCCGCAAGGAGCAGAGCAUCGCCGCCCUGGUGGAGCUCGUGCGCCGCACGGCCGAGGAGCGCGACCAGCUCCAGCAGCACCUUGACCAGCUCCGGCAGCACCUGCUCCUGGCCGCGACAACGUCAAGCAGCUGCGACUCAGGCGCCAGCGUCCCAACCUUCGCCUUGGAGCACAGCCAUCGCCAUAGAUAUCAGGAGCGCGCCGUUGACAGGAGCACAGCCAUCGCCAUAGAUAUCAGGAGCGCGCCAGUUGCCAUCGACGACAACAGGACCGCGGCGGUGCUCGAGCAGCUGGCGGCCAAGAGGCCAUUGCCACAAAGGGGGCAGCUGCUGCAGGCGGUAAUGGAGGCAGGGCCUCUCCUGGAGAACCUGCUGGUGGCAGGGCCAGUGCCGCAGUGGCGCAACCCGCCACCUGUGCAGCCAAUCCCCAGCCCCGUCAUAUCGGCGCCUUCAGGCUCUCGUGCUCCCAUGGGUUGGGGGCCAUGGUAG